UUGCUGGGGACAUGUUCAUGCCCCCCAAUGAUCCCUUCGGCAGAGGAGGUCCAACACUGGACCAGUUACUGAAAAAACUAGACCCCAGGGAGAUGGAGAGAUUGAUGAGAGAAUGUCAAAGAGGACCAAGUCCUCAAAGAGGCGUUGGAGGUUGGGGUCAGAAAGGUCAAAGACCACGAGGGCAUGAUCAAGGUCAGAAUAGAGCAACAAAGCCACCAACAAGGCAACCAAGGUCGGAGGAGAAAAACAGAGAAUUUUUCAAUGAAUUGAGAAAAAUAAUACCUGAUAACGAUGCCAAGAUCCAAGCUGUGCUGAAAAAUCAUCCUUACGAUACGGAUCUGAACAGAUUGGUGGGACACUUGUUGGAUGUUCUGGACUGAAUAAUUGGAUAUCUGAAGAAAAGUCUAAAUAUUCUAUACUGAAGCACAGAUUGCAGCCAUAUGAAAAAUAUUAUUUUUCUUUGGCCAUAUUACUUUUUUCAAUCAAAUAUAAAUGUAAUGAAAAAUGAAGGUAACUUCUCUCUGUGUGAAGGAAGUUGGAUUUCUUUCCAAUUUGACAGAUUUAAUGAAGAGAGAGUUGUUAUAUAUUCAGGUGUGAUAUGCAUGUAUGCCAAAUACGUCAUGUCUGUAUCUUUUGUUUUCAACCUCAGCCAUGGUAAAAGCUAAAUAACACUAUCACUAGAAUGAAAAUUUAGUUUACCCUCUUGCUUUUCCUGUGGUAUAAUUAUUAGUACCACCAUACGAAUGCGCUUACUCCAGCUGGUGGUACAAUAUCCGGAGGCAGUAUUGCCUCUCUGAUCCUCAAGUUUGUAAAGUUCUUCAUUCUUGCUAAUUUUAUUGUUGUAAAUAAAAAGCAAUGCAAAAAAAUACCUAUAAUUGUAAGAAUAUGAAGUAUAAUUCAACAUAUAUAUAAAAGGUAUUGUGAAAGAUUUAGAAGUGGCAAAUGAGAAUUGGUUUAUUUUUGUAUUUACUUCUUGUAACACCAGUGUUUCACCAAGAAAUACUUGAAAUCUGACUUCUAGGACUGAGGAAAUCAGUUUUGAACAAGGUGAGAAGCAACAGAGAGAAACAAUUUUAUUGUGUAGUAUGUAAUUAGCACAGCUUAGUAAAAAAUUACAUCUACAAUGAUUUGAAAAGACAAAAUCCUGUUGAAAAAAAUUACUAGAUAGAAAAUUCAGUAAUGCAGUCCACAAGGACAUGUAUAUGUGGGAUAUUGAUCACAUCCAUAUUCAAAGAUGCUUUUGUAAAUUUGUGAUUUUAUAACCAACCAGUUUAGUAUGUGUGUUUUGCAAUAACGAUGUAUUCAUUGGAUAUAAAAUGAAGCAAUGCAGUCUGUAAACGUGGGAUAUUUUCUAUAUAUUAUCUUUAUGUUUUUGUAAAUCUUUACCUUUCAAAUGCUAAUUUAAUAGGAAGUCUGUAACAAAUUUUUGUUUUAUCUUUCAUAUAACCUCAGUAGUUAAGAUGGCACUACUUGAACAUUUAAGUGUGAUCUUCUGGUAGGACUUCUACGUAUAAUUAUUUGUUUAAUGGAUGGGAGGUGUAAUAGUAGAUACUAGAUGGACUGUUCUCCUCCCCAUCUCCCAUUCACAUCUUCCAAGUUGUAAAAUAUACAAGUAGAUCAGUAUUAAUUGGUUAAAAAGUUAGAGGUUAUCAUAUUUUUGUAUCUUCAUUUAUUUUAGCUUAAAUAAUUAUUCAGGAGUACAAACUGUCCUGUCCACUUACCAUGAUGUGGGAUAUUGUUGCUUUUACUGAGAUUAUUUUUCUUAUUUUAAUCUUCUGUGUGUGUGCACUGUGAAGCUUUUUGCAAAAGUUGAUUUUGAGUUUCAUGUUUUUUUUUUUGUUUUAACAGAGAAAGUAAUCAGGGGUGCAAUACUUGAAGCUUUUGUAAUUUAGCAAAGUAAUUGACAAUGGUAUUUUCUUAGCUUUUUUUUUUUUUUGAUUGCUUUAAUUUGUUGAUAAAGCAAACUUGCAAAAGUUUCGUGAGAAACAAAUACAACUGUCAAUAAAUAAAAAAGAAAAAUUCUGAUAAUGUUUUUAAUACAAUUUUCCAUGAAUGCAAAUAAAAAUAUAUAAGUGGAAGAUGUGAGUGAGAGGUAUUUAAAAAAGUACACAAGCAGGGCAAGUUACAACACAGGACUUGUUAUUUAAGUGUAUGAGAGGAGAGAAAUAAUUCUCUUCAGAUUUGACUGCAUUAGGUGUGACAAUGUCGAGUGGCAGUGUGUUAGGUGUGAAAAUGUCAUGAAAAUGAGUUAGAUGUGAAAAGUUCAGACAGGAAAGUGUGUUAGGUGAGAAGUUGUUCAGACAUGACAGUGUGGUUGCGUCAAAAUCCAAUUAUGUGUGUUUGAUGUAACAAAGUAAAGACAUUAGAAAUUGUGAUAC
rnacentral:lncRNA from 1 species